rnacentral:rRNA from 1 species
UACGUAGGUGGCAAGCGUUGUCCGGAUUUACUGGGCAUAAAGGAUGCGUAGGCGGACAUUUAAGUCAGAUGUGAAAUACCCGAGCUUAACUUGGGUGCUGCAUUUGAAACUGGGUGUCUAGAGUGCAGGAGAGGUAAGUGGAAUUCCUAGUGUAGCGGUGAAAUGCGUAGAGAUUAGGAAGAACACCAGUGGCGAAGGCGACUUACUGGACUGUAACUGACGCUGAGGCAUGAAAGCGUGGGGAGCAAACAGG